rnacentral:misc_RNA from 1 species
UGUGGGAGCUGGCUUGCCAGCGAUGAGGUCAGCACAUCCAGCAUUGAUGUAGCAGAUAUACCGCCAUCGCUGGCAAGCCAGCUCCCACA